rnacentral:rRNA from 1 species
ACAGAGGUCCCAAGCGUUGUUCGGAUUCACUGGGCGUAAAGGGUGCGUAGGUGGUGAGGUAAGUCGGAUGUGAAAUCUCCGGGCUCAACCCGGAAAUGGCAUUGGAAACUACCUUGCUAGAGGAUUUGAGGGGGGAUUGGAAUACUUGGUGUAGCAGUGAAAUGCGUAGAUAUCAAGUGGAACACCAGUGGCGAAGGCGAAUCCCUGGAAAAUACCUGACACUGAGGCACGAAAGCUAGGGGAGCAAACAGGAUUAGAUACCCUGGUAGUCCUAGCCCUAAACGGUGCUUGCUUGCUGUAAGAGGAAUCGACCCCUCUUGUGGCGGAGCUAACGCGUUAAGCAAGCCGCCUGGGAAGUACGGUCGCAAGAUUA